rnacentral:rRNA from 1 species
UUACUAUGGAGAGUUUGAUCCUGGCUCAGGAUGAACGCUAGCGGCAGGCUUAAUACAUGCAAGUCGAGGGGGCAGCAAUGUCACCGGCGAACGGGUGCGUAACGCGUAUGCAACCUACCUACAUCAGGGGGAUAGCCCUAGGAAACUGGGAUUAAUACCGCAUAAUAUUGGAUAUGGCAUCAUAACCAAUUGAAAUAUUUAUAGGAUGUAGAUGGGCAUGCGUAGGAUUAGCUAGUUGGUAAGGUAACGGCUUACCAAGGCUACGAUCCUUAGGGGCUCUGAGAGGAGUAUCCCCCACACUGGCACUGAGAUACGGGCCAGACUCCUACGGGAGGCAGCAGUAGGGAAUAUUGGGCAAUGGAGGCAACUCUGACCCAGCCAUGCCGCGUGCAGGAAGACGGUCCUCUGGAUUGUAAACUGCUUUUGAAUGGGAAGAAUGUGCUCCUUGCGAGGGGUAAUGACGGUACCAUUAGAAUAAGCCACGGCUAACUACGUGCCAGCAGCCGCGGUAAUACGUAGGUGGCGAGCGUU